rnacentral:rRNA from 1 species
UGGGGAAUCUUGGACAAUGGGGGCAACCCUGAUCCAGCCAUGCCGCGUGAGUGAUGAAGGCCUUAGGGUCGUAAAGCUCUUUCGCCUGUGAAGAUAAUGACGGUAGCAGGUAAAGAAACCCCGGCUAACUCCGUGCCAGCAGCCGCGGUAAUACGGAGGGGGUUAGCGUUGUUCGGAAUUACUGGGCGUAAAGCGCACGUAGGCGGACCAGAAAGUUGGGGGUGAAAUCCCGGGGGCUCAACCCCGGAACUGCCUCCAAAACUAUUGGUCUAGAGUUCGAGAGAGGUGAGUGGAAUUCCAAGUGUAGAGGUGAAAUUCGUAGAUAUUUGGAGGAACACCAGUGGCGAAGGCGGCUCACUGGCUCGAUACUGACGCUGAGGUGCGAAAGUGUGGGGAGCAAACAGGAUUAGAUACCCUGGUAGUCCACACCGUAAAACGAUGAAUGCCAGUCGUCGGGUAGCAUGC